ACUAUUGACCUCAAACUGGGGCGACAGUUCAUCAUUCAGCAGGACAAUGACUCUAAGCACACAGCAAGAUAUCAAAGAGGUGGCUUCAGGAUGACUCUGUGAAUAUCCAGCUGGAGCC